UGUGGUUUCAGCGUCAGUUUACACAAUGCCUUCUUAUCAUUUAAUCAGCAAUUUAUCCAGAACAGGACUUUUGUUCCAUGGCAUCUUAGUAUCUCUAGGAGCCUUCAGCAAGAGAUGUGUAGAAUGGCUUUUUAUAAACCCAGGUAAAUAAAGUCCAGCUGAUUUAAUCCGUCUGUGAUGGCUGGUUAUAACAGAUAUUCUUAGAUCCCCAAUAUUAUUUUUCUACAUGACCUAUGUUCUUUGAUUAUAGUAUCUAACAGCUAUCCCGAAUCGAUAUCUCUCCAAUGUCCCUUAGAGAAUUCUCCUCAGUGGAAUGUGUGUGAGAGAGGGAAGAAAAAAUGGCUGGUUUUUGUACAAGACAUGUAUAGUCACCACACCAAAGAAAGCACAGGCAAGUUACACUAUUUCUGUCACCUUGUGUGCAGAUUAAAAGCAGUUCAAAAGCUUUGAAAAUCUCCACAUUGACACAUUUAAAAGUUUAAGCUUGGUUACAUUUUACAUCCAGCACCACUGGUGCUGGAUACAAAUCUAUAUCAAAAUAACUCCCUUUUGCAGGUUUUUGUGAACUCUGCAUCCAGACAAGGAUUAAACUGGCAACAAAACACAUCUUAAUUCAAAUCAGUUUGUUAUUCUCAAAGUGUUGUUAUAAGCAAAAAUGAGGACAUGCCUUAUUUGAGAAGCCAAGAAUUUAAUGUUCAUGUAACUGAAACUUCAGUAGACUUAAAUAAAAUGCAAUACAUGGUUACUGAGAUUUUACUCCAGUUACUAAGUUUCACAGUCCCUAUUAUCCAACUAAAUAAAUACUUCUCACUGUAUGAAAAACAAUAAAUUUAAACUGUUGCACAGAAAAGCACACAAGCACAUGCACACACACUGAGUGGGGUGUGGUGUUUCUGACUGGGUUUCCUCCUCUUCCUUGCCAAGAGGAAUGUGAUGUUGGCAACUUCUUCCUCACUCUAGGUUCCACUUGGGGCUGUUUUCAUGUUUGCUGAUGCUUCAAUGGACCUUGCUUUUUUCACUGGCCUGCAAGUGCAUCUCGUCUGCAUUUACAAUAUACAGUGCAUUUUUCUUGUGUUGGAUAAUGCUGUCUGCUCUCUUGUGCUCCUAACACUAGUUUUGUCCAGUUUCAAGUAGUGAAUAUCUUUCUUUAAUUUACUAUUGAUGAGUAUUUGCAUCCUUAGUGUGAUUCCAACCUUCCUCUUAUCAACCCAUGCCUGUAUUUGUCUAGACCACAUCCAGUAUUCCCACUUUGAAGGCCUUACUGUUAUUCCUGUAUAAUUGCACUGGCUGCUGUAUGUGUGAGUCCCAAAUGCAUCAUUCGAUGUAGAAUAACCAGCUGCCACCAUUGCCUCUACAAAAAUUAUUACAUCAUGUGAUUAAAAUAAGCAAAAGUACAUAGAAUGGGGAGUAGCUGUCAGAUCACUAGGGGGGGAAAAAAAAAAUUGUUACAGCUAAGCAAGCUAAACCAAGGUUACCAGUCAGGCUGAGACAAGUUCAGCCAAAGAGGAGAACCAUAAAACUACUCUAAUAACCACCAGAUUAAAGAGGCAUCAUUUACAACAAAAAGAUUAGCAAAAUAACUUGCUGUUUUCUAUACAUAGCUGUAGAUCCAAAUUGAAACAGGAGAAAGUUGUGUAUGCUUAUGUUAUGGGUGCUAUGUCAGUCUUUAAGCGUGAUGUGAUCCAAAAUGAGCAGUUCUGCUGAAAUUCUGAGUUCUUGCUAGGGAAGGGAUUGCUUGGGGCUUGCUGUAGUCUGGCCUUGGGCAGACGCUGCCAAUAGCAGUCGGAAUUUGCUGCCUGUGCUCCUGAAGAACAGCUUGUGCUUGAGACUCCGUGAGUAGGUCCUCUUUGUGUUCUCCAGCACAGUUUUGUGGCAUGAACCAAAGUGCAGCAAGAGGGAAUGGUCCUGAUCGGAAUGAAAAUACUCAUGCAGGUAUGCCUUGUAUCGGUUCAGAACCAUGGUGAGUCAAGCUUUUAAGUGGCAUUUUUUACUUACUGGAGCAUUUCCCAGUAGUGAAGGAAGAAAUUAAGGAAUUAGGACUGGACCAGGAAGCUAAACAAAAUGUGUGAAACGUGAGAGGGAUAUGAGGUCUCAUGAUAAAUGCACUCAGGCAACCAGUGAGAUACUUCUGCAAGGACCAUGAUGAGAUAUGAGAUGUAGCUGCAAGAGACCAGGAUCAUCUACACAUAGAUCAAGCUGAAAAAUGGAAAAGCACUGUCUGCAAGCCUAGAUAUACUCAUGCUUCAGUGGGAGGAAAAAAUGGAAAGUAACAAUGUUGAAAGACGAGCACAGUUCAAGUUGAAUCUCAUUCUGUUAGGCCAGUCCUUACUUGUAAUGUCUUGAUCUCUUUCAUGACAGCUGGGGCAGGAGACACUAGGCUAUAUAAAAUGCUAGCCAGCAUCUUGAAUUACAAAAGGCAGGGAGAAAAGACCUGAUUCUGUGGUGAAACCAUCCACUCAGAAAAAGCUUUUCAAUGCAAAAGUAAUAACUGCAUGCUAUUAGCUGUAAUCGUAAACCUAAGCUAAUAUAAUGUUGUUUUUAUUCCCACUGAGUGAUUUCACUGUGAGUCUGGUCUUUUGCAUCUUCUUAAUCCCUUCACAUGCUACUUUGUGCAUUUUCCUUUCUAAUGCUCUGCUUCUUUACCUGCUGUCCGUGUGCCACAUGCAAUUUUAGUGAGCAUGCAGGAUUAUCUGUUUAGCAGUAGCUAGCACUGGCUGGCAUUUGCAUGCUACCUCUUUUCAAUUCAAUUACUGACUGUGCACAGGGCAGUAAUUGCAGUUUCAGAAAGCUAAGGUUAAUGAGUAAAUUGAGUUUAUGUCUUCCUGGGUCACAAGAUAAAAAUUGUGGAUAAAAUGUAUUUGUAUAGGAGAGAUUUAAAUAGUGGUGGUUGUGUCAGGCUGCACUGGAAGCUCAUAAAGAAAGUUUAGGUGUCUGCUGAAAUAGAAAAUGUCAUUGAUAAUGAAACUCAAAGGAGGAUGGAAGAGAGCUAUUCUGAACAGUUCAACUUCUCCUUUUCCUCCUAAUGGACACACCAUGCAAUUUGGCCAGUAAUAAAAAGUGAGCUUCAGUUUUUCUGCAAUGAGACCAACUUUUGCUAUGCACUACACAAUUCUAAGUAGGCAUCAUAAGUAAAUAUCAGUGUUUGAGAGACAAAAACAACUAAAAGAGGGGUUUGUCUGAUGAAGUGGUCUAAAUUAAAAUUAGACAUUUUCUUCCAGGUGCCUGCCCAUCUCUCAAAAAGCAAUCCCUACAGUAAAUCACUUAUCAGUUUGAUCUGCAGGCAUCAGGGUUCUUUAAUUGAAUCAGUCAUCCGGUUCUAAUCAGCUGCCAUCCAGAAAUUGAAUUCCUAUUGAAUUAAUAUGGAGCUCUUUUGUAUGCUUCAGUUAUCAAAAAACUUUAGCAAGUCAGUGGUUUCAGAGAAAAGUAACUUGUCAGGUCUCUUCCAUGAGAAGAGGAGGAGGUUAUGCUGCAGUGAUGGCUUUCUCAAAGCAGUGUGCCUUUAAAGGUCCACAUCUCCCUCCUGUAGCAAAACAGAAGAGUAAUUAAGAUUAAUAAGAGGUGAAUGCAAAUGUGGGUAGGUGUGUGGGACAGCCAGACCUCAUGUCUCAAGUGCUGCACACCAGGUGGUAACUCAGCUGGGAGUCAGAUCUGUCCUGCCUUGCUUGGGCCACUCAGUGCCUUAUGCUUUCCUCCUUUCCUUAGAUCUCCUCACUCUCCUGUGAGGAGUUUUCCUCCUUUCCUUAGAUCCCCUCACUCUCCUGUGAGGAGUUUCAGUAGGGUGGGCCUGUGUCCUUCCUCCUCUGGCACACUGCAGUAGCACAUCUGGACAGCCUCAUCUUUGCUCUCCGUUAAAAGCUCCUCAUUAGAAAGUGUCUCAGCCAUGGCUAGCACCUUGACCUCUCUCCUCAGUGAGAGAGGGACAUCCAUUGUCCCCUUCUGACUCAUUUUACCCCAUGCAAAGCUGUGUUAGUGAGAGCUCAGGAGCUCAGUAACAACUCAGGGCUUCAACCACUCUGUGUGCCUGGCCACUGCUACUUUAGGGAAGAGAAUUACAGGAGUGGUUAUGGAUAAAAUUAAAAUGGAAAAUGGAAAAUGGAUGGGAGUAUGUCACAAGUAGAUUGGACUUACAUGCGAGAGUGAAAGUGGAAAAGGAGGAAGACAUGAGACUAGUCAAGCAAAUAUUGGCAAGGAAAUUGUCCUCCUUAGGAGUAAACCUGUAUUGUCAGGCUGUCAGAUUUAGUGGGGGAAGUGCCUGCCUUGUCAGCUCUAGCUGAGCCAAGCUGAGCUCCUGGUGUGCCCAGAUGAGCCACCAAAGCAGCCUCUGGCCACUCAGAAGGGAGCUGGCUGAGCACUGUGCACACCAGCACCCCUCUGGCAGCCCCAGCAAGCAGGGCUCAGACCCUUGGACCAGGAUCCAAGGAGCUGUCAUAUGAAAGUCCCAUCCCAUGCAUGGACCCACUGGACAGGACUGCCAGGAGCCUCCAGAGCACUACUGUAGGGGGAGCAGAAUUAGAAGGAAUGGAAUGAAGGAAGUAAGAAAGAAGCAGCCAGGUUGAAAUGGAAGAGAGAAACUGAAGCAAAUGUUGACAAUAUUAAAAGCAUAGUCUAGAUCUUGCCAACAAAAUCAUUAGCGUAUGAGUGGAAGCAUCUUUCAACUAGAAAUGGUCUGUAUGUACUUUGUUUCUGAAACAUACAAUAUGUCAGGCUACAUUUGUGGUGGACAGAAAACUUCAACCCUCAUCUUUUCUUGAAACUAUGUCAACUUCAGCAGCAAAACCUCUUUUUCUAGCAUUGCAAUAUUUAAUAUGACAUUCCAAGUGAUGUGCAAGACAGUAGAACCAAAAGGGAGAUGCAUUAAUGUAGGUAAGUAUUUUCUGCAUUUUCUGUCCUGGUUUCAUCUGGGACAAAGUUAAUUUUUUUCCUAGUAACUGGUCCAGUGCUCUGUUUUGGAUUUAGUAUGACAGUAACUUAAAUUUAAGUUUUGAAACACAUUGCUGUUUCCCAUUGUUGCUGAGCAAUUUACAGCACUUUUUAGCUUCUUGUGCCCUGACAGUGAGAAGGCAGGAGAGGCACAUGCUGGGAGGGGACAAAGCUUGGAGAGCUGACCCCAGCUGACCCAAGGGAUAUCCCAUACCAUAUGGCAUCAUGCUCUCUAUAUGAGCUGGGGGGGAGCUGGCUGGGGGCCACUGCUCAGGAACUGACUGGUACCAGUUGGUGGUGAGCUAUCACACUGUGCAACACUUGAUUUGUAUAUUCAAAUUAUUAUAUUUUAUAAUGAUUAUUUUCUUAAUUGUCUGCCACAUGAAAUUGUCUUUAUCACAACCCAUGACUCUGAGUCUUCCUACUCUCUCCUCCACCCCACUGGUAGGGAGGGCAGUGGUUGAGAGGCUGUGUGAUGCUUAGUUGCCAGCUGGGGGUAAACCACAACAAUUGGAUGAACCUACUUAAUGCCCAUUGCAUUACACCCUUUUCUUCCUCCCCUGUGGAUACACAAGAACCUAAGCAUAUGUCAGGUAGUCUGAAAAUGUUGCUGGCAUUGAGAAGGGACAAAUGUCCUUGACCCCUUGCCCGUGGCAGAGCUGUAACUUAGGAAUCCCUCAAAUUCUGAAUUGGAAAAAUGAAAGCAUUUUCUCCCGUUUGUUUAUAUUUUAUGAUAAUGCAGGAUAACAAAGGUAUAUUCUGGUAUUUCUUUUCCUCCAUACCCAAAUUUUGCUAAUUUCUACAUAAUAUUGCCUAUAUUCCACAGUUCUUCUGGUCUGAUGAAGAGAAGAGAUGAGAUGAUCUCAUGAGAUAAGAGUGAUCUCUCAUAAGGACUGGUAGUUAUUUUUCAGAGAUUUCCAGAACCAUAUUUCCUAAUAUUUCCAUAACCAAGAUGGAUGUUUCUAAGGGAAUAACUACAUGAGUGCUCGCAGCUGUGUUCAAAACAUAGUGCAGCCAAAGUCUGUUGUGAGUGCAUGUUACACACCCAAAAUUCAGUUCCAGACAGUGUUGGGGCUGCAUUUUAAGAGAUCAUUUUAGUUCCUAGGCCUCUUAAUGCUAAUAAAAAUUCUUACUGUUGCAGGAUUAGUCAAUGGCAAAAUCCAUCUGAAAGAUGUCUUUUUUUUUCCAGUGAAACUGUGGGUGGAGGUUUGGGUUUGCAUCCUUACUCUCUUAACUAUUCUUUAUUCCUGGCCAAAGCAGAAUUGGUUGGGAUUGUGAUCCUGAGCCUCUUUAAAUAACCAUUUAUUGGUUCUGUUUUUCUCAUUAUAGGAACAAAUUUCAGAUCUGAGAUUUGGGUGUCUCUGUAGCUCUUUCCUAGGCUCUACAUUAUUAUAUUAGCUUGUGGCUCUAGUCCUGAAAAAGAAUGUAAUUUCAUCCUCACAUUUCAAAAGGUUAAUCUCUUCUCAUCAACAAUAAGGGGUCACAUCAUGUGGCAGGGGAAAAAAAAAAUAUCAUACAUCUGAAUUUCCUACCCAUGUGAGCAGUUAAAAAAUGAACAGGAGUGGGAAGGAGUCAUCACAUCAUGUACUAACUCAUCUAAAUCUGGAUGCUUAAAUUAGGUUCCUCCACCAAGUGGAAUCAGAACGAGUCAUCUCUGUCACUGUUAGGAAAGCCAAGAGAGAUUAGGCCCCUAAUUUAUUUAUCAAAAUAUUUGAUUGUUCUUUAUUAUGCAUUAAAUAUCUUAUAAAUGUGCUCUGAUUAUCUUGCCUUCUUCCCAGCCUCUCAGCCUCUUAAACUGCUAACUUAAUGAUCCUGCUGAACUUUCAGAAAUAUACCAGAAGUGCUUCUCCGGAGCUCUAGAGCAACAGGAAACAAAGAAACUUGAAGAAAGCCAAGACAAAAAAAUGUUCAGAAAAAAAUUCCAGAGAUGAAGGGGAGGAGCUGCAAAUGUGUGUCACAGCCACAACAGUAGCUGCUGUUCUCACCCCACAUGGGCUGUGAGAACUUAAUGAGCAAAAUUGUCCAAGCACUUAAUAAAUACUGGGGUUGAAGGGCUGAAGAAGGUCAUGUUUUAAAGACCUAACUGCAGGCAAUUGAUCAUGAUGGGGCUAACAGGGUUUUUCUAGGAGGCAAAAGUGUGACUCCAGCAGAGCCAUAGACGCAGGACCUGUCAUUGGAAGGGCCACCAAGCUCUUGGCCCUCACAAGUGGAUGCCCAGCAUCCCCUGUGGGGCUAUAAGGGCUCCACUGCUGCAACAGCCUUCCUCCCAUUGGCUUCAGCAGCCUAAAUGUUGCAGGAACCUUUAAUCUGAGCCUAGCUAGAUGAAAGCUGUUACACGUGUAACUAGCAAUGCCGUAAUGGCAGCUUUGAUUACAGUGUAGGUAUCUUCAAAAAUAGAUGAUCUUGGGAAUCAAGGUCAGGACGUGAUUAUGAGAAUUACAGGCUUUCCUAAAAGUGCUGAGGAAAACAAAAACACAAACUGAGAAACUUAUUGAUUCUUCCAUUUUAACCCUGAUGACCAGCUACAUCAAACUGAUCUGCCGGGAGCCAUCACAGACAAAUCCACAAUAAAAGAAACACCACGUGGAUCGGCAGCAGACAUCAGAAACCUUCCCUGAGGAGAGGUUGCUGUUCCCCACCACCACGCUCCUGGGCAGCAGCCACAUACCAGAGAGGCAAAUCACAUGCCAGUGGUGCUUGAUGUGCUUGGAUCCCAGUGGUUCUGAUUAUUUUUAUCGGUGUAAUGUUUAUGCUUCUAAAGUUAUCCCUGCAUACUUUCCACAGUGCAGCAAAUUGUUACCUCACUGCAAGAUGAACCAUCAAGAACCUCUGAAGUCAGAUUUUAUCAAAACUCUUCAGAAAAUUUUUAACUAAGGGGUUUAUUGUGCACUUCAUAAGCUCUUGGUGUUUAGAAGACUCUUAGAUUUACUAUGGAAUGGCUUCAUUUUAUUAUUUUUAAUUAAUGGCUAUGCUGCAUCCAAUGCUGAAUCAUCUUCCGCACUCACACAGAGCGGCAGCUGGUUUGUGAUUUCACUUCUGUGCUGACAUCCCCUUUUGGAAGGCAUAUCUUCCUACUCUUUUUUUUCCUCUGGGCUUAAUCUAGUCUUACCCAAGCAGUCACAAGCUGUGCUGCCAUAGUCAGUGGAUUUAGCUUUCUCCAGGGAAACCAGCAGCAGAGGCAGCACGUGCAGGGCUCCAGCCCACACUCCAAACCACGCAGCUCCAGCCCCUCCCUGGGGAUGGAAGGCACGAGCCCUUGGGACAGAGAGCCAAGCCCACAGCAGCACAGAUGGGAGAAAGGGUGGAAAACCAAACCCAGGUCCCAUCUCCUCUCAGCACAGGCUGAGGGGCUGGGCUCAGAUGUGAGAACACUCCUGAGACACCCACUGCUGUGGCAUCCCUCCAACAAGUGCCUGUUCUGAACAAGGGUCAGAAUAAAAUUAAUUUACGAAGUUGCAGCAGCAGUGUAAGGACAGCAGUGUGAACUUGUAAUCACUCCCAGACCAAGACACAUAUCCAAUAAACUGAGGCUUUGGGUUAUCUUUUCUUUAAUAUAAAAAGAUCUUCAUAUGACUAUUGGACUAAUUAUUACAUAGGUGAGGCAUUUAAAUACAUUUAACAUCACAAGGCUGGUCAGUGCUAGCCCCAUGCUGUCACCUCACAAUUUUAAAUAAAGAUUAGCAGAGCUGUAAUUCCAUUGCCAGGUAAGAAGGUGACAAAGAGAUAUUUCUUCCCUCAGAAACUGGAGUACAGAUUCUAAGCUUUUUUACAACAUAACUAGAAAACUUUUCUUCUUCCUUGUUUUUCCUGCCCUGUCAAGAAACUUCAACUCCAUUCAGGGCUCAACUCUACAACCUGAAUUACAGUAAAUCAAUUAGUUAUCAGGUUGUAUCUUAUUCUUUAUAAAACACCAUCAUUUAUAAUACUAAAUUAUAUAAAGCACUGCUUUCAUCUAGCCUCAAAAAAGAAAACUCCUAAAGUGUUUUAAAGAUACAUGGCAAAGUUUUUAGCCUCUUUUGAAAUUCUAAUAAUUCAGUGCUAAGAACACCUCUUUGAUGUGCGACAGGUGUCUGCUGAUCUAAAAAUAUUUUUCUGUGAAUAUUAAUUCCAUGAUUUAGUGAACAUUUUUAUUGUUGAACUUUCUGUUACUUCUGGUGAAGGGAAACGCCAUUCUCCAUUCUGCUACCGAUAAGAAACAAACUGUAAUACCUUACAAGACAAGAAAGUGAGCAAAGUUGCUUCUUUGACUUCUGAAUAGGAGGUGCUAGAAAUUAAAUUAAAAAAUUAUAGUCAAUGACUUACACACUAAAAGAACAUUGAACCCUGAUAAUACCCCUAAUACCAUUCUUGGUGAGUUAUAUUGUGCUGAGGUUGUAGGUAUUGUAUUCUUCCACGUUUCCCACAAUCGGUGGUCCAUCUUCCAAACAUUCCUCCAGUGCAUGGAAAUCAGUCUUACUUGCUAAUACUUCUCUUUGUGUCAGAAUAAUGCAUUCCUGCUCGUUGGCUCUGCUUCUUCUGAGCCUUUAAUUUUGGUCCUUAAACACUGUUUGCAUGUUCCUUAAAAAGCCCUGAUUCCUCAACUCAUUGUAGAGCCUUCUCUGUAGUCUAAACUGCAGGAGCUAACUCUGUGCUUGCACCAAAGGUGCUGCGAAACUGAGAGCUUGUGUGUCAUGUGGGAAAGCAAUGGCAUGUCCCAGAUUUGGAUGGGAGCGUUGGAGAGGAAAUUCCUUGUGGAAACACAGGAAUUGUGAAGCAGACUUUGGCAAUCAGCUUUUCUGAAACCUAGCAGAACAGCAGGUGCACUGAGGACAAAGGAACUCCUAAACCAUCACAGUCAGAAUAUUUGUAAGAAGUAAUUGUUUGGGAUUUUCAGAGGCAGGAAAAAAACUAAGGAACAGCUGUCUCAAAAAACAAUCUUAAAUCAAAAUGGCUAAAGCUUUGAAAGGACAUGGAACUAAAGCUGGAGGUCCUAAAUGUUUGGGAUAAAAUAGAGGUAGAUUUAUAGAAAUUACUAAAAAGGGGUAAAACAAAAAAAUACAGCAUGUCUGCCCAUGCAUCUUAAGACAAAUUUAAGUGUGAAUGAAUAAAAAUUUGGGGGUUGUUUUCUUCUGGGAAGAGCCUCCUUAGUCAUGGUCAGAAAAAAAUUGUUGAAGAGCUGCUAAGGGUAGGAAAUAAUACAGUGGGAAUGAAGCACUGUGGAAAAAUACUGGCUCUAAUUGCUAAAUUUGGCACAGAUAUAUCUAGGAAGUUGAUCCUACUGAAUGUUUGCUAUAUUGGGGUAUUGGUUACUUAUCAGAGGUAUGUGUGGGUGCAGAAUUAUAUUUUCUGUAACUUUCUUCAGCCAACUGUACCAUUAGAAAUGGAUAAUUUGUAAUAUUCUAAAACUGAUGUUUUGCCCAGUGUAAGGUGACACUUUUCUUGCAGGAUAUCCAAACUAAUCAUAGUGCCAACCAACAGGCAUCUUAUUAGUCUGGCUCCUUGGCUUUUAAAAUGUCUCAUAAUUCUGUGAAAUAUUUCUGGCAUUGAGAUUCUAUCAGACUGCAUCUUACAAACAAUGCAUCCAGUAAUGCAUAUCAAUUUCAACAGCCAGAAACUGUGAAAAGCAUCCAUCUUCAGUAAGUAACAAGUAUAUGACCCAUCUUUCUUUUUUCUCAUUGAGCACCUGAUAAAUUAAUGCCACCUUUCUGUGCCAGCUGCACCCUGUCUAUGGAGGAAGACCCAAAAUGAGCUGUUCCUCUUCUGGUGUCUAUGAUUAGAGACAGCCUUUGAUUCUCAAUGAUUCUUGACUUAUUUGGUCUCUCCCAAAUAUUGCAUCUCAUCAAACACAAGUGAUCCUUUGGAAGUUAGGGAGCUGGAAAAUGAGUGGCACACAGUGGUGUGCUACAGACAAUAGCAGAUCCCAAGUACUUGUGCCCACAAUGGGAAGCAGAUGAUAAAUCUUUAAGUGUGCAUGUGGGUGUUUAUUGACAUCACAGGUGGUUUGUAAGGAGAAAAAGUACAAAUUUAUUAAUAUUGGAAACCACAAUUUCUUUGUUUAGUUCUAAAAGAGGCAAUAACUCUAACAGCAGGGUGUAUACUCCUUGGUACAAUAGCAUGAUAUAUAAUUUUGGAGGUUAUUUUCCCACUGGAAAUGACACUUGGCUGUACUCUGCAGAGAUGGUACCAUGGGUAACAGACCAAGUCAGUCCUCAGCAUGAACUUUUGUGACUCUCAAGUGGGCACCAGACUGGAAAAACUCUGCCUUUGUGGUGCUGAACAUAAAGGACUUUACAUUCUGUCUCUUUGACAUUUCCUUGGAUACUGAAGGAGGAGCAGUGCACACUUGGGAACACCCACCUGUAACAGGGUUGUAGAUUUCAGCCUGGGCAACACUGACUAACCCAGGGCUGGAGGAACUGGGACAGGAGGUAGCUCCAUGUUUGGGAAGAGACUUCACCUAUGGGAACCACCUGCUGCUUGCAGAGGGAGCCACAAGCUCCUCCCAGCAAGGGUGCAAGAGCCAUGUUUGCUUCCCAGCCUGAUCCCAGGAGGUUUCUCACAUGCACUCACAAAAGCUCAGCACCAGCAGGAAUCACUGACAGCAGCCAGUGAGCCCCGUCAGCCCCUUGGUGUUUAAGGGUCUGGUCUUUAAUCCCUGCUGUUUGAGGAAGCUCUAAAGUCAGACUUCCCACUUGCUGCCCUGACACAUGGCCACCUCUGCAAGAGGUGAGGUGCUGCUGCUCUCUCCUCCAAGCUGAUUGCCUCUGUGGUUGGUGUGGACCCCAAAAAUCCCUUUAGAAAGCAUUGGUGAUAACUGCACAAUGCCCAGGGGCUCCACUGCUGGCUCUGAAUGGACAAGCAUGGACAAGGAAAAAUCUCUGGUCAUCCAUGGAGUUUUAUGGCUAAAAUGAAGUAUACCAAGGGAGUUAGGAGAGUGUGAUGUUGGCUGAAUGGGUUUUGAAGGAUCACGGUUUUGGAUGAAUGUGCCUAACAUCUCAUGCUCUUCUUCUACUGCUAAAGUCCCUUACAGGAGCUGGUCAUGCAAUUAUUUCCAUUCCCUGAUUGAGUUAUGGCAAUUAGUAAUGUCAUUACUGUAGGACAGAAGCUCCAGUGAAGAACUGAGACCUCUAAUAAUCAGGUUUUGUACAAAUAAAGAGCUAGACAGCCUAGAUGUAACUCCUGGGAGCAGGAAUAAAUCUUUUAAAAAAGGUCUUUGGGGCUUUGAAUCAAUCCCUCAGGGAGAAAGAGCAGUUGAGGGAGAGCUUGCAAAAAAAAAAAAAAAAAAGAAAAAAAAGGAUUUGUGAAUUUGUGAACUUGAAAAUGUCAUGCACUUUUCUGUUGAAGCUAUGUCUCAUUGCUGUUGUUAACAUGUCACUGUAACACCUGCUGGCCCUGAUUAGGAUUCCUCUGGGAUGGUAUAAUCACAGAGCACAAUGUGGCCACAAAGAAAUUACAGCUCAUGAUCUGCAACAUAUAAAGGGAGAAUAAUAAUAGACUCAACUGGAUUUAUGCUGGGUUAUCCAUACAUAUGGCCUGUAUGGAUGCAUUUGUGUCUUCAUUUACUAUUUUGAUUUAGCUCUGUAAACACCAGUGCUCCCUCAUAACUCUGAGCCUGGCCAUUAGAAGUUGGCUGCUCUUGUGGUGUCAUUGAAGAAGAUCUCAAAUAGGGAUUUGAAAUAGGAGAAAAUAACAGCUUAGACUUAGGCUACUGUAAGCUGGGCUGGCUGAGGGGCAAAUUUACAUUUAGAUUGAGCCUCUUCACAUCUUCUCUAAGUAAUUGUAAACUCUCUCAUGCCUCAGCCCAAGAAAAGAAUUUAGGCAGUCCUGCACUGCCAAAAACUGUCUUAUGCUUUGUAAGAUGUGUGAUAGCUAAUCUAAGUAGUCAGGCUUAGCAUCCACUUUUCAUAAUUAUUUGUGCAAAUACAGCUCAGUUAUCAAAUGUCAGCAUUAAUCAGACAAAGGAUAUCAGCAUUGCCAAAAUAAACAUGUUGUAAAAGU